UACAGAGGGUGCAAGCGUUAAUCGGAAUUACUGGGCGUAAAGCGUGCGUAGACGGUUACAUAAGUCGGGUGUGAAAGCCCCGGGCUCAACCUGGGAAUGGCAAUGGAAACUGGCGAGCUUGAGUGUGGCAGAGGGGGGUGGAAUUCCGCGUGUAGCAGUGAAAUGCGUAGAGAUGCGGAGGAACACCGAUGGCGAAGGCAGCCCCCUGGGCCAACACUGACGCUCAGGCACGAAAGCGUGGGGAGCAAACAGG
rnacentral:rRNA from 1 species